AAUGGCUCAUUAAAUCAGUUAUCGUUUAUUUGAAAAUACCUUACUACUUGGAUAACCGUGGUAAUUCUAGAGCUAAUACAUGCUAAAAACCCCGACUUCGGGAGGGGUGUAUUUAUUAGAUAAAAAACCAAUGCCCUCCGGGGCUCCUUGGUGAAUCACAAUAACUUCUCGGAUCGCAUGGCUUUACGCCGGCGACGGUUCAUUCAAAUUUCUGCCCUAUCAACUUUCGAUGGUAAGGUAGUGGCUUACCAUGGUUUCAACGGGUAACGGGGAAUUAGGGUUCGAUUCCGGAGAGGGAGCCUGAGAAACGGCUACCACAUCCAAGGAAGGCAGCAGGCGCGCAAAUUACACAAUUCCGACUCGGAGAUGUAGUGACAAUACAUACUGAUACAGGGCUCUUUUGGGUCUUGUAAUUGGAAUGAGUACAAUUUAAACCUCUUAACGAGGAACAAUUGGAGGGCAAGUCUGGUGCCAGCAGCCGCGGUAAUUCCAGCUCCAAUAGCGUAUAUUAAAGUUGUUGCAGUUAAAAAGCUCGUAGUUGAACCUUUGGCCUGGCUGGCAGGUCCGCCUCACCGCGUGCACUUGUCCGGCCGGGCCUUUUCUUCUGGAGAACCGCAUGCCCUUCACUGGGUGUGUUGGGGACCAGGACUUUUACUUUGAAAAAAUUAGAGUGUUCAAAGCAGGCCUUUGCUCGAAUACGUUAGCAUGGAAUAAUGGAAUAGGACGUGCGGUCCUAUUUUGUUGGUUUCUAGGACCGCCGUAAUGAUUAAUAGGGACAGUCGGGGGCAUCAGUAUUCAAUUGUCAGAGGUGAAAUUCUUGGAUUUAUUGAAGACUAACUACUGCGAAAGCAUUUGCCAAGGAUGUUUUCAUUAAUCAGUGAACGAAAGUUAGGGGAUCGAAGACGAUCAGAUACCGUCGUAGUCUUAACCAUAAACUAUGCCGACUAGGGAUCGGGCGGUGUUUCUAUUGUGACCCGCUCGGCACCU
rnacentral:rRNA from 1 species